ACAAGCUCUGGAUUGUGUCACGUGUUCAACAAAGGGGCCUGCUCGUUUAGCAAUCUUCUGUAAGUUAUUUAUACAGGUUUCGUUUCGCCUGUCGCUAAGUCUUGUGCAAUUAGCCAAUUGGAGAGCUUCGUCGUAUGAGUGGCCAGGAAAGAUAAUGCGCAUGACACGCUUUUGUACAGUCUUUCCAGUUCGUCAGACAGAUAGCGACAUGCUUAGUGAAAGACAUG